AAGUCGUAACAAGGUUUCCGUAGGUGAACCUGCGGAAGGAUCAUUAAAGAGACGUUGCCCUCCGGGGUAUACCUCCCACCCUCUGUUUAUUAUACCACUGUUGCUUUGGCAGGCCCGUCGUUGGACCGCCGGCUCCGGCCGGCCCGCGCCUGCCAGGGGACCUAAACUCUGUCUGUUAGUGUCGUCUGAGUACUAUACAAUAGUUAAAACUUUCAACAACGGAUCUCUUGGCUCUC
rnacentral:misc_RNA from 1 species